rfam:Picea glauca, whole genome shotgun sequence.
GGGAGGGAUCCUUGUGGGUGCGAUCAUACCGGAUCCCAUCAGAGCUCCGCAGUUAAGCGCGCUCGGGCAAGAGUAGUACCGGGAUGGGUGACCUCCCGGGAAGUCCUAGUGUUGCACCGU